rnacentral:rRNA from 1 species
AGAGUUUGAUCCUGGCUCAGAUUGAACGCUGGCGGAAUGCUUUACACAUGCAAGUCGAACGGUAGAGGGGGCAACCCCUCGAGAGUGGCGAACGGGUGAGUAAUAUAUCGGAACGUGCCCAGUCGUGGGGGAUAACGUAGCGAAAGUUACGCUAAUACCGCAUACGAUCUACGGAUGAAAGCGGGGGAUCGCAAGACCUCGCGCGAUUGGAGCGGCCGAUAUCAGAUUAGGUAGUUGGUGGGGUAAAGGCUCACCAAGCCAACGAUCUGUAGCUGGUCUGAGAGGACGACCAGCCACACUGGAACUGAGACACGGUCCAGACUCCUACGGGAGGCAGCAGUGGGGAAUUUUGGACAAUGGACGCAAGUCUGAUCCAGCCAUUCCGCGUGCAGGAUGAAGGCCCUCGGGUUGUAAACUGCUUUUGUACGGAACGAAAAAGUUUGUCUUAAUACGAUGAGCUCAUGACGGUACCGUAAGAAUAAGCACCGGCUAACUACGUGCCAGCAGCCGCGGUAAUACGUAGGGUGCAAGCGUUAAUCGGAAUUACUGGGCGUAAAGCGUGCGCAGGCGGUUAUGUAAGACAGAGGUGAAAUCCCCGGGCUCAACCUGGGAACUGCCUUUGUGACUGCAUAGCUAGAGUACGGUAGAGGGGGAUGGAAUUCCGCGUGUAGCAGUGAAAUGCGUAGAUAUGCGGAGGA